UUACGGAUAGAGAUUACUGUUAUUAAUCCAGAACUAAAUGUAAAAGAAUGCUUUGUCAGAAACGGUUUUAGCUGCUGAUAGUGGGUGGUCGAUAAUACUGAAUCAAUUUGGAUGAGUAAUAUGUUAAGAAUUGCUAUUGGAAUUGGCUUUGAAAGAAACUUAAAUAUUGCUUAAGAGCCUGUUUGAAGUAUUUUGAGGGGGUACUUUAAAAAUAAUAAAUUUUCCUUGCAUCAGAAGCAGGUUUAAAAUGCGCUGAAUCUACAGGGUUUAAUGGAUAUGGUUGAAAUGAGAUUUAUGGAAUCUUUUUUGGUUAUCUUUUGCCUAAAUUACUCAUAGUGUCUUUCACAUAUGAGGGAAGUCUACUUCUUGCUUUUUGCAUUGUGAAAUGCUUGAUCUAUAAUUUUGAUUUCUUCAUUAAGAUGGAAUGUUUUUGUGUCAGGUUGUCCCAGGACAGACUGAUCUGUUUCUCUUAUGUAGAGUGCUACUUAUAAAAUAGAUGGCAUCAUCAUUCAGAUCGACUUACUGCACUUUCUGACACUAGCGCGGGAAGCAGUGCUUCUGAGUUCACAUGUCCCCAGUCAUCCCCUGCUUGUUGAGGAAAUUAGGUCUGUGUUCUUUUCUGGCUUCCACUGUGCUUUUUUGAGUUGCAUAUGCAGUUUCAGGAGCUGUUUAUUCAUUCCAACAGAGAUGAAUGCAAAUCCACAUUAGCCUGUUUAAACUCUGAUUCUGGAAGAAAAAGUGGGCCUGGAGUUUGGGGAAGAGGUGGGCAUAGUGGAAAGAAUUUAUGCAUUUACCAAAACCAUGCCUUUGUGUCUCUUUCUUUGCACAGUCAUCCCCAGCCAUUUGUUUUUUUAGCACAGGGUUGCGGUUGCUUAGAGACAUGAGCAAGAUCAGUGAAAUCACCAUUUAAAAAAAGCGGUUUCAGGCUGCUAUGUGUGAAUUUUUCCCUCAUUGCUAUUUAUAAAGAUAUAUCUACAAAAAAAACUUGUCACCAUAUACAUAGAUGAUAAACCAUACUUAGCAUUAAAACUCUCUUAAUUUAUCAUGACUUUUUCUGCCUUUUCAAAACAGCUCAAGGAAGCUUAGGAGAGCCCCACGUAAUUUUUUAACUAGUUAAAUCUGAGACUAGAGAGUGGCUUAGUUAUAAUAUGAAACCUAGUAAAGUGAAUAAUAUCUUCUCUUAAGUUUGGGCAUUGUUCAGGUUUCUCUUUAAAUCUAAUUUAGUCAUUAUUCUGUUUAUAAAGCUAGGCAACAAGAAAUGGUGAGCACGUAUUAAAAACAGUCUGCGUCAACUUCCUGGUUGGCCUGGUACUAACUGUUUGCAGAGAGCAGAUGGAUUGCUAAAGUAGCAGUGGCUUUGACUUUAGCUGGUUAAAAGUGAAUGGGUACCGACUACCUGAUUUUACAUGGUCUAGUCGAUUUUCGUAGAAAUUCAUGUGGUUGUCACCCUAAAAGAAAAAAUUAUUUUUGUAUCAUCAGUAAACUUGGAGUCCAGUCUGAGACAAUGAUUCUGAUAAGGUAAAAGGAGCAGGGCUUGGCUCUUAGUAAGUACUUAGGAAAUAUUUAAUGAAGGAAUAAAUUCCCCCAUUCCUCCCACCCAAGUACACAAGAGUCUUGCUAGCUUUUAUAGUGAGAAAGGCAGGGAGGUUGUGAAAAUAAUUCAGAAAAUAGAGUCAGGUGAUAAUUGGUGGCUUAUUAAACACUAUGUGUUGUGCAUUUUAAAGUACUCUAUAAUUUAAAAAAAAGUGUAUAAAGCUGCAUUUUUGUGAUAUAUGUGGUUACUAGUGCCUUUAUAUAUAGUCUAAAGUUUGAACCAAAGCUCCAUGGGAAAAGGACUGUGUCUUGUUUUACUGCUGUCUCUCCCAAUGCCUAGAAUGGUAUCUAGCAUGUAGUUGCACAGUAACUACUUGGACGGACAGGUGGAUGAACAAAUGUCGAACUUUUAACUUAAACCCAAGUUAUUAUGGGCUAUAGUGUUGGGUGCACCGAAUACCUAGAAUAAAAUGCCAUGUAUGGUGGAUUAAGGAAUUCUAAUUUGGUUUUAAAAAUAAUUGUUGUGCUUAGUCUAGUCCAAUCAGGAGUCUUUUAAUUUUAAAAGAAUUCUUUGGCCUAGAAGGAGCUCUGAGAGAUGAAACCAAUAUGUCUCUGUGGGUUUUGGGAGGUUUUGGGGGGUUUUUCUUUUCUUUUUUUGAGAUAUUCUGAUAGAUUGUCAAAUAUGUGAAAAAUUUUAAGCAGGAUGACAGUUUUAUUCUAUAAUUUUCUCUGCAGUUUCUUCACUUUAAUAUUAAUUAAUGCUUAUUUCUAGUUGAGCUGAUAACAUUCUUCUCCCAAAUGUUGCAGAGCUUUUAACCUCCUUUGAUUAGAAUUUCUUCAGGAAGUAGCUUGCAAACAGAAAAAUGUGUGACAUUUAAAGAGUAAUCUUUCUUAGAGAGAUUUUUAAUUCAGAAUCUCUAAAGUGAAAUUUUCUAUUAGAUUUAGCCAUUUAAUGUUUAUUUUUUUAAUUAGUAGGAUCUAAAUUAAAUGCCAGCUGUUGAAAAAAGAACUGUAAGUCAAUUGAAGGAUACACAGAGAAGUAUUUAAAUAUCAAGAAAAAGUGAUGUAGACACAUAGAAGUGUUUUUAGUGUGUGAUCUACUUGUCAUGAACGUUUUAUAUAAAAUUUAUCAAAAACUAGGAAUUAACUGAAAUGUAAAAUUGAAUAUCCUCAAAAUCACUUGGGGAGAGCUUUUCUGUGAUUUAUAGCCAGAAAUAGUAGAUAUGAUUGUCUCAACAUUUCUUGCUGUUUAUUUAGUGCUUUGGCUUAAAAUUGUAAUAAAAAUUAAAGUCCAGAAAUAAAAUUCAUCCCUCAAAA